rnacentral:lncRNA from 1 species
ACUGUUGCAAUCUGUUCUGUGCCUUUCAGACAUUCAGAAAACAAAAUGCUUUGCUACCUGCCCUUGAGCUCUGACCAGGGGAAAUCUUGAUAUUGAGCCCUAAGCUUGAGAGUGGCCGGGGGCUCUGCUGUUUAGCAGCCUCCUCCGGUGGUCUUGACAGCGUUCCGCCUUCUCCCUUCCAGACCCUUUCUUCCCACUCUCCUUCUUGGUGAAUAGCUGGUUCCCGGGGAUGCUGGACGACUUCUUCCAGUCUCUGUUCCUGUGUGCCCUGCUGCUCUUCUGGCUGUGCGUGUAUCAUGGGAUACGGGUCCAGGGAGAGAGAAAAUGUUUAACUUUCUAUUUGCCUAAGUUCUUCAUCGUUGGACUGCUGUGGCUGGCUUCUGUCACGCUGGGAAUAUGGCAGACAUUUAAUGAAUUAAAUGAUCCCAUGUACCAGUAUCGGGUUGACACCGGAAACUUUCAGGGCAUGAAGGUCUUCUUCAUGGUGGUGGCCGCUGUGUACAUUUUAUACCUUCUAUUCUUGAUAGUGCGAGCAUGCUCCGAGCUCCGUCAUAUGCCUUACGUGGAUCUCAGGUUAAAGUUUUUGACUGCGUUGACCUUUGUAGUGCUAGUUAUUAGCAUCGUCAUCCUCUACCUACGGUUUGGAGCACAAGUGUUGCAGGACAACUUCGUAGCAGAACUGUCGGCUCACUACCAGAACUCAGCUGAAUUCCUGUCUUUCUAUGGCCUGUUGAACUUUUACUUGUACACGCUGGCCUUUGUGUACUCUCCGUCGAAGAAUGCCCUGUACGAGUCCCAGCUGAAGGAUAACCCUGCGUUUUCCAUGUUGAACGACUCUGACGAUGACGUGAUUUACGGGAGUGACUAUGAAGAAAUGCCCCUGCAGAACAGCCAGGCCAUCCGUGCCAAGUGCAGGGAAGAGUCGGACAGUGACUGAGCCCCGGGCAGCAGAUGGGACAGCAGGGGGCCAGAGGCCUGCCUGAGUGACACAUUCUGGCCCCUUCUAUCUGUUUGUGUCUGGACUCCUCUGUAAGCAAAGGUUUCCUGUUCCUUAUUUGUUUACAUAUUUUUAAAGGAAAACCCAAAUGGAUUGAAAUGUGGGGUGGAGUUUGUUUGGGGACAGCCCCACUAUUUAAGAAGAGGGGCUGCCUGGUAGAGAAUUCAAAGGCAUAUCCUGUACACCGACAUCAGGUGCGAUGGAGCCCGUAUGCAGUCAUGAGGAGAAGUUACCCAUUUUUAAUAAAAAGAAUUAUGUACUUUUUCUUUCCUUUUAAAAAAGCAAUUGAGUCUGUGGGAGGCCUGACGAUCAAGGUCCCAGCGUCGCAGUGAUGACUCUCUCCUCUCUGUGGCACCGUUCUUGAGUGCCCUACCCUCAAGGGAAGUCUAAGCUGUGCCCGCCUCAGGUGGGCGGUCUGCCUCCAUCUUCUCCAGCACAUGGUGGGGUCAGUAUGCUCACUCAGGCAUCUGCUGUGAGACUUUGAUUGUGUUUGAUGAGCCACAUUCAAUAGCAUCUUCAGGAAUGGCAAGUGGCCAGGUUCCCGUCCAUCAUUGCCACCCCCCACCCCCAGCAGAAUUGCCAUCGAAGUUGAGUCCAGAGUGGGCUGAUAGCCUGGAGGACGCCCAGGCAGCUACAGGCCAGUAGCGCUGUGGGCAAGGUCCUGUGUCAUGGUGCUUUUCAAGGGUCUGUGUACAGUUAGGAUUGGGUCUCCCUGUGCUGGAGGUGGAAAACGAGGAGGCCCUUCCGACCAAAAUUUCUGCAUCUUCACUGAGUGUGAACCCCCGGAGAGCUCUAUUAUUAUUAUUAUUUUUUUAAAUCAAAGCUACAUGAAAUACAACUGUAUUAGAAAUACUUUAUUGCC